GUUAUCAUGACUUAUUUGGCUGUGACAAAUUCCCAGACUGUCCUUCCUUGACAGUUUUGGAGAGUACAGUUCAGAUUUUGGUUUGGCUGGCACAGAAGUAUGACCACAAGAUGGACCUAAAAUAUGCACAUUUGUAAGAUUUUCCCCCAUGGUGGGAUUCACACCAUCUGCUCCCCGGUUCUCUGAUCCAAUCUGUAUUCAUCACCAGAUUUCCUGGGUUUCUAACUUACAGACAACAAAUUGUGAGACUUCUCAGCCUCCAUAAUCACAUGAACCACCUUCUCUUAAUAAAUAUAUGUAUUUAUGUGCUGGGCUCAGUGGCUGACACCUUUAACACCAGCAAUUCAGGAGGCCGAGGUGGGCGGAUCACCUGAGGUCGGGAUUUAGAGACCAGCUUGACCAACAUGGAGAAACCCCAUCUCUACUAAAAAUACAAAAUUAGCCAGGACUGGUGGCUUAUGCCUGUAAUCCCAGCUAUUUGGGGGGCUGAGGCAGGAGAAUUGC
rnacentral:lncRNA from 1 species